rnacentral:tRNA from 1 species
GCGAACGUGGCGGAACCGGCAGACGCACCAGACUUAGGAUCUGGCGGGGCAACCCGUGAGGGUUCGAAUCCCUCCGUUCGCACCA